CUAAGGAUUAUAUGGAGCAUCUACUUGUUAGAUGGCAUUCGGAAAAGCGUUUUGACAUAUUGUAUUCAGUUUUGAAUGUUUCUUUACUUUGUAAAGUGAUAUUCAGCAACAUUUAUGUACAUUGAAAACCGUAUAGAAGUAAAGAGAAGAGUAAAACGAUUUCAAAUCGAGCAAGAACAAGAAUUGAAAACGAGAACGCAAACGUAUCUAUAAGAUACACUCACACAAAUUUCAUUAC
rnacentral:misc_RNA from 1 species